ACACCUUUUCAUUUCUUAGUUGACCAUAAUUUUGUAUACGUAUUGAUGUUCUUCUGAUUAUUUCUAUUUCUCGAAGCUGUCCCUAUGAGAACGUGGUAUCCACAGAAGAGCUGCCUCGCAGACUUGCACUGAUGGCCAGGAUUAAAGCAGACACGGAUAAGCCUUGUUUGGAAAAUGUAAAGGCUAAAGGGAAGAAAGGACCUCGAGGAUGGGAGCUCAAAUUGGCAAGGAGAAGCUUCUUCCCAUACUGGAGAUCAGUGUUAACGUCCCAGUUUCAUGUGAAGGAGGAGAUCAAUAGCUUGAACAAAUCAACUAGACACGCAUCGACAUUCAUGGGCAGAACCCCGCAAUUAAAAGUUAACUAUCAACCCAAAAGGCUGUUUUGCACAGCAGCAUUGACGCUCUUGAAAGUGUUAAGGAAUGCAUGAGGAGCAAGGUAUGCCAUGAGUUCUGUUUUUCUAGUUCAAGUUUGUUAACGUGUGCAGUGCAUCGAUGGGAAGAUUUUUCUUGAUGAACCUUAGGACUGAACAUGUGUUUGUAGGUUUAGUUUUGUCGAUUGAACUUAUCAAGGUUUGUGGGAUUGUUGUGUGUUAUG